GGUGCGUAUUGGUUAUUUUUCCCGACUCAUAAUCGGUAGGUCCCCAGUUCAAGUCUGGGAGGGGCCACCA
rnacentral:tRNA from 1 species